UCCCUGGUGCUUCAGUGGUUAGUACUCUGUGCUUCCACUGCAGGUGGCACAGGUUCGAUUCCUGGUCAGGGAA
rnacentral:tRNA from 1 species